AAUGCAAGUGUGGUAAAAUAGACAGAAACAACUGCACUGGUCUUGAGGAUGAUGACUUUGUCUUGGAAAUCUAUCUGAUGCAUU